rnacentral:rRNA from 1 species
GACGGAGGGUGCAAGCGUUGUUCGGAUUGACUGGGCGUAAAGGGCGUGUAGGCGGUUGGCCAAGUCUGAUGUGAAAGCCCGAGGCUCAGCCUCGGAAGUGCGUCGGAAACUAGUCGGCUGGAGCGCGAUAGAGGAGGGUGGAAUUCCUGGUGUAGCGGUGAAAUGCGUAGAUAUCAAGAGGAACACCUGCGGCGAAGGCGGGUUGCUGGGCCGGCACUGACGCUGAGGCGCGAAAGCCAGGGGAGCGAACGGG